GGCCAGACUCCUACGGGAGGCAGCAGUGGGGGAUAUUGCACAAUGGGGGGAACCCUGAUGCAGCGACGCCGCGUGAACGAAGAAAUAUUUCGGUAUGUAAAGUUCUAUCAGCAGGGAAGAAAAUGACAGUACCUGACCAAGAAGCCCCGGCUAACUACGUGCCAGCAGCCGCGGUAAUACGUAGGGGGCAAGCGUUAUCCGGAUUUACUGGGUGUAAAGGGAGCGUAGACGGCAGCGCAAGUCUGGAGUGAAAUGCCGGGGCCCAACCCCGGAACUGCUUUGGAAACUGUGCAGCUGGAGUGCAGGAGAGGUAAGCGGAAUUCCUAGUGUAGCGGUGAAAUGCGUAGAUAUUAGGAGGAACACCAGUGGCGAAGGCGGCUUACUGGACUGUAACUGACGUUGAGGCUCGAAAGCGUGGGGAGCAAACAGGAUUAGAUACCCUAGUAU
rnacentral:rRNA from 1 species